AAACUACUCCCUCCGUCCAACAAAGGAUGUCUCAAGUUUGUCAAAAUUUGGAUGUAUCUAGACAUGACUUAGUGUAUAGAUAUAUUCAAAUUUAGUCAAAAUUGAGACAUCUUUUGUUGGACGGAGGGAGUACUAC
rfam:Brachypodium distachyon strain Bd21 chromosome 5, whole genome shotgun sequence.